UGCAAGACAAGGGGGAAGAAGCAUGCGGUGAGUUACCUGUUUACGCAUUCCAUGCUAGUAGAUGCUUCCAGGGAAACCGAAGUCUUCAAGGAGUCUUCAAGCAGCAAAGAAAAUAUAGGCCUGAAAACCUGGUCUAGCUGAAUUGGCAUUCUCAGAUGGAGACACCAAGCAAAGCAGGCUUUCAGAAUGCGUACCUAGCAGUGUGACCAUCAAAGAAGAAAUGAGGUCUCUAAUUCCAUUUUUCACUCACUGACCCCCACAAAGUCCAUUAGUCCCCAAAAGAUUGCCUCCUCCACUCCCACUUACCCUCACAUAGUUAAUGUUUGACAGGGACAGGAAAUGGGGCGGGGGGGACAUGACAUCGCCAUGGAAUACACCAAUUCGAAGUAGUUCACACUAGGCUGAAGUUUGACUUUACUUGGAAAACCUUUCCCUGAUGCAGCAAUUUAAACUGACAACAGCAUUGGGGGAGGGGGCGUGCCCCACUUUGCUCUCUGUUACUGUGACAGGCACCAUGGCCAGAAUUAGCUCGGGAAGGAAAGGGUUUAUUUCCGUUUACAGUUUAUAAUAAGCCAUCAAGAAAAGCCUAGAAGCCAGAAUGAAGCAGGGACCUGCUUACUGACUUGCUCUCUAUGGCUCUCUCUGGCUC
rnacentral:lncRNA from 1 species